CAUGAAGCCGGAAUCGCUAGUAAUCGCGGAUCAGAAUGCCGCGGUGAAUACGUUCCCGGGUCUUGUACACACCGCCCGUCACACCAUGGGAGUCGGAAAUGCCCGAAGCCGGUGACCCAACCCGAAAGGGGAGGGAGCCGUCGAAGGCAGGUCGGAUGACUGGGGUGAAGUCGUAACAAGGUACC
rnacentral:rRNA from 1 species